UACAAAUCUGAACUUAAACUCGAUUAUUCAGCUCUGUAUAAAAAGUUUGCUGUUGUUGGAAUUAUGUAGAAAAGGGGAUGUCAAAACUUUUUGCGCGGCCCCGUCAAAAAGUUUGCUGCAAGUAAUUUUUAAAUUUGGCAAUCGAUAGCAGGAAAAAUCAUUUAGUGAACGUAGUUUGAAGAAUUUAUUCGUUUGCUUAUUUAUUUAUUUUGAGUCCUCGUUCGUGUUUGCAUCGAAAAUUGUUAACAAAAAUCUGGUAAGUAAAGGUAAAAACAUCCGUCGGGUCUGAUUCGGAGGAAAGCUUUCAGAAGUAUUCGAAACGGUUCCGCUUCUAAAUAGUUUACAUUUUAGGUGUUCAGCUGGCAGACUCUUCGGAACCGAAAUAUCGAAGAAAAAUUUUAAAAUAUUUAGAACGGAUCUGAGCUGACCGAAAAGAGUCAGCAAGAUCCGGGAACAGUUGGUUCGGCAGCUUACAGUGCUAUGCACGGUACCCGAUGGCCAACAUUGAGUCUCAAGUUUUCGAACUGCCGGCAAUGGAAGAGGUCAUUAUUUUUGUCUCCGAGGCAGUAAUCGUUGACUCGCUGGAUUACCUUUAGUUGGAGUGAAAGUUGCGCUUUGAGUUUUAGGAGAAUUGAACAGGUAUGGAAUUUUUCAUUUUUUAAAUUAAGUCAAAAAUCAGAUUCUAAAAUACUGAUUGUAACUUUAUCAGUGUUGGUACUAUCUAAAAUUUUACUAUUUAUCAAUUCUGAAAUUCAACUACGUACCAAGAAACUGGAUCAGAAAUCUGCAUAUUGAUUGUUAUAACUUUAAUCUGAUGUCGUAUUCCCAAUUCAAAGCAGGAUGGUUCGAAUUUGGCCAUGUCCGUACUCGAGAGACGCUGCGUAUACGUGCAUGUCGGAACUAUUCAACGCAUCAUAAGAUUGGCCAUCAUUCGGCUAAGUAAAAAGAAUUCGCGUUACCAUCAGCCGAUCGCCGAUCAGAAAUUUCGAAAGCGUGGCGUAAUCAGCUUGUUGAAAAAAUGCAUGGAUGUUUAAUUAGGUGAACCCGGACUAAGAGACUAUAGAUCUGACUCACUAUAGAUCUGAAAAUUUUUAAGAUAAUCCGGGCAUCGUCACCCAGUGCAAACUUCGACGGACGGUUAUCGAACAAUUCGGCAAAAAUAAGAAAGAUGGGCUUAACGGAUCUGGUGUUAGGUUUCGGAAAGGAGGCUGUUUGCUGCCAGAAAAAGUUGGCUAUCGAAGGCCAGAAAAAAGUUGGCUAAAAUGAAAUAAAAAAAAGUUCCGGCACAUGCAUGACCGAUUUUUUACAGUAUAGGCAAUAAAUAUUGUUUUGCUACGCAUG